rnacentral:rRNA from 1 species
UACGAGUGCUCCAAGCGUUAUCCGGAAUCAUUGGGCGUAAAGCGCACGUAGGCGGCUUGCCAAGUCGGACGUGAAAUCCCUCAGCUCAACUGAGGACGUGCAUCCGAAACUGGCGAGCUUGAGUACUGAAGAGGAUCGCGGAAUUCCCGGUGUAGAGGUGAAAUUCGUAGAUAUCGGGAGGAACACCAGUGGCGAAGGCGGCGAUCUGGGCAGAUACUGACGCUGAGACGCGAAAGCGUGGGGAGCGAACAGG